UACGAAGAGGGCUAGCGUUGCUCGGAAUUACUGGGCGUAAAGCGCACGUAGGCGGCUUCUUAAGUCGGUGGUGAAAUCCUGGAGCUCAACUCCAGAACUGCCUUCGAUACUGGGAGAGCUCGAGUCCGGGAGAGGUGAGUGGAACUGCGAGUGUAGAGGUGAAAUUCGUAGAUAUUCGCAAGAACACCAGUGGCGAAGGCGGCU
rnacentral:rRNA from 1 species